rnacentral:tRNA from 1 species
AUGCUGCUAGUAUAAAUUGAUUAUAUCACUUUUCCAAAGUGGGGAUCUAUGGCGAUAGGUGGCGUA